CUGCAGCACCCACCUUACAUCAUCCGAAAAAUCACAAGCUAAAGUGUCAAACUCUUCUUCUUAAGUUUCAACUAGUUUCAGCCUUUUGAUCAGAGCAGAAAUCAUGUCAGUUGGUGACGCGGCGGCAAAAGAGAGGAAGAUCCUCGUGGCAGUUGAUGAGGGCGACGAGAGCAUGUAUGCUCUCACCUGGUGUCUCACAAAUGUGAUUUCUCCAAAUUCCAAGGAUACCCUCAUCCUGCUCCACGCUCAGGCCCCUAGAGCUGCUUACACUGCUUUGGAUGGCACAGGUAUUUCGCACUUAUUUCGUGGCUAUAUUCGGGAAAAAAAAUUCGUUUUGGUUUAAUGACAUUUGGAUCCCUUGUUUUUGACAAAAUCACAAUUAAGGAUAAGAAAGGCGUGUUUUUCAAUAGUUUCCUUUCUGAUCAGUGAGUGAUUUUAUUGAGUGUCGUGUUGGUAAUUAUGAUUGUGUCUCAGGGUAUUUGUUUUCAACUGAUAUCAUGUCAACGAUGGACAAGUACCAUAACGACGCUGCUGACCGUCUGAUCGAGACGGCCAAGAAUAUGUGUAAAGAUCAUGUUAACGAUGUGAGUGCGAAGCGAAGUUAUCAUGUGCUUACAUACAUAUCCAGGAUACAAUUGUCUUUUUGAACUAUAAAUCUGAUUGGACGAAUUUGCCCCUGGCGUAGGUUAAGGUGGAGACGAGAGUAGAGUCCGGUGAUCCAAGGGACGUGAUUUGCGAGAUGGUACAGAAGCUGGGUGUGGACGUGUUAGUCAUGGGUAGCCAUGGCUAUGGUUGGUUCAAAAGGUUAGUCUUUAUCUUAGAAAAACUAAAACAUCUAUUUUCAAAGAGUCAAAUAAGAUUAAUUUUGCAUUAUUUCUUGUAAAUUGACUACAUAUAAUAUAAGUUUUUUUAUUUGAAUCUUUUGGGAUGGCAGGGCCUUCUUGGGGAGUGUGAGCAAUCAUUGUGCACAAAAUGUGAAGUGUCCCGUCUUGAUCGUUAAGAAGCCCAAAUCCAACAAUCUUGGAAAGUAAUAAAUAAUCUGCUUUUGUUCUUGAAAAUUUAUGUUAUGUAUUGUAUGAUAUAACUUCAAGAUUUUUCCCUUUUUGUUGCAGUGUAAAUGUGUGUAUGUACAAAUAAAAUCUAUCGACUAUGAGAAGUUUGUUUGUGAGGUUUUUUGG
rnacentral:lncRNA from 1 species